rnacentral:rRNA from 1 species
ACGGGGCCCGCACAAGCGGUGGAGUAUGUGGUUUAAUUCGACGCAACGCGCAGAACUUACCUAGACUUGACAUCCCGGGAGUUUCUGGAAACAGAGAAGUGCUUUAGCAAUAAAGAACCCGGUGACAGGUGCUGCAUGGCUGUCGUCAGCUCGUGUCGUGAGAUGUUGGGUUAAGUCCCGCAACGAGCGCAACCCUCGCCUUUAGUUGCCAGCAUUCAGUUGGGCACUCUAGAGGGACUGCCGGUGUCAAACCGGAGGAAGGUGGGAUGACGUCAAGUCCUCAUGGCCUUUAUGUCUAGGGCUACACACGUACUACAAUGGCCGGUACAAAGGGCAGCCACUCAGCGAUGAGGCGCUAAUCCCAUAAAGCCGGUCUCAGUCCGGAUCGCAGUCUGCAACUCGACUGCGUGAAGUUGGAAUCGCUAGUAAUCGUAGAUCAGCAUGCUACGGUGAAUACGUUCCCGGGCCUU